rnacentral:rRNA from 1 species
UAAUACAGAGGAUGCAAGCGUUAUCCGGAAUCACUGGGCAUAAAGCGUCUGUAGGUUGCGAAUUAAGUCUGUUGUUAAAGACCAGGGCCUAACCCUGGGAAAGCAAUGGAAACUAGUACGCUUGAGUGUGGUAGAGGUGGAGGGAAUUCUUAGUGUAGCGGUGAAAUGCGUAGAUAUUAGGAAGAACACCAAUGGCGAAAGCACUCCACUGGGCCAUAACUGACACUGAGAGACGACAGCUAGGGGAGCAAAUGGG